rnacentral:rRNA from 1 species
GGUGUAGUCGAUGGGAAACGGGUUAAUAUUCCCGUACCUUGGAUAGCUGCGAUGGAGAGACGGAGAAGGCUAGGUGAGCCGGGCGACGGUUGUCCCGGUUUAAGCGAGUAGGGAGUGGACUUAGGCAAAUCCGGGUCCACAAUCUCGAGACGCGACGACGACUGCUCUUAGAGCGGGAAGUCAUUGAUGCCAUGCUUCCAGGAAAAUCUUCUAAGCUUCAGGCUAUUCGAGACCGUACCCCAAACCGACACAGGUGGUCAGGUAGAGAAUACCAAGGCGCUUGAGAGAACUCGGGUAAAGGAACUAGGCAAAAUGGUGCCGUAACUUCGGGAGAAGGCACGCUGGU